UCUACGGGAGGCUGCAGUGGGGAAUAUUGGACAAUGGGCGAAAGCUUGAUCCAGCCAUGCCGCGUGUGUGAAGAAGGCCUUCGGGUUGUAAAGCACUUUCAGUGGGGAAGAAAGCCUUGGGGCUAAUACCCUCGAGGAAGGACAUCACCCACAGAAGAAGCACCGGCUAACUCCGUGCCAGCAGCCGCGGUAAUACGGAGGGUGCGAGCGUUAAUCGGAAUUACUGGGCGUAAAGCGCGCGUAGGCGGUCUGAUAAGCCGGUUGUGAAAGCCCCGGGCUCAACCUGGGAACGGCAUCCGGAACUGUCAGGCUAGAGUGCAGGAGAGGAAGGUAGAAUUCCCGGUGUAGCGGUGAAAUGCGUAGAGAUCGGGAGGAAUACCAGUGGCGAAGGCGGCCUUCUGGACUGACACUGACGCUGAGGUGCGAAAGCGUGGGUAGCAAACAGGAUUAGAUACCCGAGUAGUC
rnacentral:rRNA from 1 species